AAGACUAGUAUGAAUGGNACCACNAGGGCUUAACGUCUCCCCCCUCCAAUCAAUGAAACUGAUCUCCCCGUGAAGAAGCGGGGAUAAUAAUAUAAGACGAGAAGACCCCAUGGAGCUUUAAACUCAUCACCAAUUACUUAACCUUAAACCACUAUAAAGGGUAAAGAUGUUCUUGAUAGUUUUCGGCUGGGGUGACCCUGGAGUAAAACAAACCCUCCAGAAUGAAAGGAAUAAAUCCUAACCCAAGAAUUACAAUUCUAAGAAUCAAAAACUUGACAUUAAUGAUCCAAUUACUUGAUCAACGAACCAAGUUACCCUGGGGAUAACAGCGCAAUCCAUUUCAAGAGCCCCUAUCGACAAAUGGGUUUACGACCUCGAUGUUGGAUCGGGGUAUCCUGGUGGCGCAGCCGCUACCAAAGGUUCGUUUGUUCAACGAUUAAUAACCCCACGUGAUCUG
rnacentral:rRNA from 1 species